rnacentral:lncRNA from 1 species
AUGUGGAGCCCACAGCGUCCUGUGUUGGUGACAAACGGGACAGGAGCCUCCUUCCGCGCCACCUGCGGCGUCCCUGUUCAGGGUCAACCUGGAAGCCGUGAGAAAGCGGUGUCGGAGACUGCCAAUUCUUCUCCCAGCCAGCAAAGCCUUGUGUUUUGCACUUGUUGGACUAAUCACUGUGGACAGAGGAAUGCUAUGUGCUGCUUGGCUUACAUUUGGUUUUACUAUCCAUCCUGAACCAGUUAACGUGGCAAGGGGACUGAGAUAAUGCUCAUGGGUCUUUGCUAGUCAACACCCAUCCCUGAAGUCAAAACUCUACAAACCUCAUGGGUACCGUAGAGUGGAUGAUGGGCUCAGAAUACACAACUCCUGCCCUUUCUUAAGGGUUUACAACUCCUACCCACCCCCCACCACCAGUGGCAGCAGGUGGAACCCGUGACCAGAUACUAUCACUUUGCAAUGGCACAAAUCCACCCCAUCAAAUAGUAUGAAGAAAAAUAUUAAUACUCCAGACCUGAAGGAAAAGACAAACACCAGGAAUCAAUCCAGGAAUCAAACACAGAAUUCUACAAUCUAAAUGACAGAGAAUUCAAAAUAGCUAUCAUAAAAAAACCUCAAUGACUUACAAGAGAACUCAGGCAGCUCAAUUAAAUCAGGAACAAAAUUAAUGAACAAAGGGAGUUCUUCACAAAAGAGAUUGAAACUACAAAGAAAAGCCAAUCAGAAAUAUUGCAGAUGAAAAACACAAUGAAUGAGAUAAAGAAAAAUCGUGAGUCCUUAAAUAACAGAGCUGAUAUUAUGGAGGAUAGAAUUAGCAAUUUAGAAGAUAGGAGUAUAGAAAUGCUUCAUAUGGAGGAAGAGAGAGAACUAAGACUAAAAAGAAAUGAAGAAAUUCUCCAAGAAAUAUCCAACUUAGGAAAGGCAACAUAGGAUUAUAGGUAUCCCAGAGAGACACGAAAGGGAAAAAGGAGCAGAGAGCUUGCUCAAAGAAAUAACAGCUGAGAACUUCCCAAACCUGGGGAAGGAACUGGAAAUACAAGUAAAAUAAGCCAAUAGAACUCCUAUGACAUCAAUGUAAAAAGACCUUCUCCAAGGCAGAUAUUAGUAAAACUGGCAAAAGUCAAUGACAAGGAAAAAUAUUAAGGGCAACGAGGCAGAAGAAAAUAACCUAUAAAGGCACCCCAAUUAGGCUUUUAGCAGAUUUCUUAGCAGAAACCUUACACACUAGGAGAGAGUGGAAUGAUAUAUUCAAAAUUCUGAAAGACAAAAACGUUCAGCCAAAAUAUUAUAUCCAGCAAAAAUAUACUUCAGAUAUGGUGGAAAAAUAAAAACUUCCCCCAAUAAACA